ensembl:lncRNA
GGGAAUAUUGGGGUCAAUGGGGUCAUUAUAGGGACAUGGGGGGCAAUGGAGUCAUGUGGGGCAAUGGGGACAUUGAGGUCAAUAAGGUCAUUAUAGGGACAUGGGGGGCAAUGGGGUCAAUGGGGUCAUUAUAGGGACAUGGGGGGGCAAUGGGACAUGGGGGUCUUUGGGGUCAUUGGGGUCAUUGGGGGACAUUAUGGGGACACUGGGGACAAUGGGGACAUGGGGUCAUUGGGGUCAAUGGGGUCAUUAUAGGGACAUGGGGGGCAAUGGGGUCAAUGGGGACAUUAUAGGGACAUGGGGGGCAAUGGAGUCAAUGGGGUCAUUAUAGGGACAUGGGGGGCAAUGGGGUCAUUAUAGGGAAAUGGGGGAUAAUGGGGUCAAUGGGGUCAUUAUAGGGACAUGGGGGGCAAUGGGGUCAUUAUAGGGACAUGGGGGGCAAUGGGGUCA